rnacentral:rRNA from 1 species
AUUGAGCGCUGGCGGCAGGCCUAACACAUGCCAGUCGAACGGUAACAGGAAGAAGCUUGCUUCUUUGCUGACGAGUGGCGGACGGGUGAGUAAUGUCUGGGAAACUGCCUGAUGGAGGGGGAUAACUACUGGAAACGGUAGCUAAUACCGCAUAACGUCGCAAGACCAAAGAGGGGGACCUUCGGGCCUCUUGCCAUCGGAUGUGCCCAGAUGGGAUUAGCUAGUAGGUGGGGUAACGGCUCACCUAGGCGACGAUCCCUAGCUGGUCUGAGAGGAUGACCAGCCACACUGGAACUGAGACACGGUCCAGACUCCUACGGGAGGCAGCAGUGGGGAAUAUUGCACAAUGGGCGCAAGCCUGAUGCAGCCAUGCCGCGUGUAUGAAGAAGGCCUUCGGGUUGUAAAGUACUUUCAGCGGGGAGGAAGGGAGUAAAGUUAAUACCUUUACUCAUUGACGUUACCCGCAGAAGAAGCACCGGCUAACUCCGUG